GUAAAAAUUUAGAUGUAUAAGAGUGGAGUUUAGACUCUAGAUCUACUACUACAUACUUGCUUAGUAGCCAUGAACAGCCAUUAUAUUUUUUCUGUCCCUCAGAUGAAUCCCCUGUGAUAUAGGAUUAUUAUUCCUGCCUCUACUAUAACUAAAAAAAAAUAUUAGCUGGGACUUUAGAAUUCAUUUGGCAUCUAAUACAUAAUAUAAUCUAUAUAAAAUUUCUGAUUCUAAAUAUUAAUCACAGACUAAUGACUGCAGCUCAGAAGAUAUAUUUGAAUACUCACAUCUAAAUUUUCUCAAAUUGAUACUGUCUACUCUCAAAAAUUGCUUACUGACAGUCAUUUAAAUAAUCUCAGUUUUUUAAAGACAGUAAUAGUAUAUAUUUCAUAAAGUAUUCUUGGAAAAUCCCUAUAACAUUCAUAUAUUGCUUGCAAGAAAACUUAAACCAAUUACUUCCUGAUGUUGAGCAACAUUAGUGUCAGAUGAAAGAUGUCCCCCAAGAGUCAAAUAUCUUUCAGAAUGCCUCUAAUAGUGCUGCUAUUAGAGACAAAGUUGGUAGUAGUUGGAAUUUUGGCGAUACUUUCAAAUCAUAGAUGUCAUGACAAAUUUUUCUACUCAGAUGAUGUUUGGUGUAUAAAAUGUCUUCACUGUCAUCAGAUGUAGGUUAUGAAGUAAGUAUGUCUGAAAGCAAUGUAAUUGUAUUCUUUUGUUGCUAGCUUCAUCAACACUUAGAUAUUCUGUUCCCAUGUCACUACAAAGACAAGAAUUUAGUCACUCCACUGAGCACAUAUUAUUUUCCCUCAUAGUUUAUUGAUCUGCUGGAUGAUAUUGCGACUCUAUGCUUAUAUUAUAAGUACUGAAGAUGGUUCCAAAACAAACCAACCAACCAACCAAAACCCAAAAAACUAAUAAAACCCAAUUAAACAACAACAACAAAAAAUUAUGACUUAGAUAGGAUGCAUGCUGCAUCUUUACCAUGUACAUUUUCCUUUCCCUUUCUUUUUAUUUACAUCUUCAUUUUAUUUUAUUUUAUUGAAAAUGGAUAUUUUUCCCUCAUAUAAUAUAUCCUGGUUAUGUUUUCCCCUCUCUGUACUCUGCCAAGUUCCUCCUUUCCUCCCGUUACAUCUGGAUCUACCUCUUUUCUGUCUCGCAUUAGAAAACAGGCUUCUGAGGACAAUAAUGAAAUAUAAUGAGAUAAAUCAAAAGUUAACCAUGGAAAUAGUCAGAAAUGCAAAGAAAUACAACAGUCCAAGAGAGGGCACUCGAAUUUGAGUCCAACUUGUUCACUCAGGAAAUCCCAUAGAAUCACUAAACUCAAAGACACAAGCAAGGGACUUGUAGAGUAAAAAGACAGAGGAAAUACGUGUACACAAUAAAAUGAAAAAUAAUAUGAUGGAAUUUUAAGAAAAGAAAAAUCCUGUUACAACAAUGUGAGACUAGGAACUUCCAAAGAUGCCACUGAAUUCACUCUCUGUUGGCCAUCUACUUUUGGGCAUGAAGCCUAUACACUUAAGAGUAAUUUGGUUCCCCAGUGAGACUCUGUUGAUGGAAACUAAACUUUCCAUUUGCAAGUGGUUUAUCAAUUGGAGAUUGCUUCUGGGUUAGGGAUUGGCACGUGCUCGCUUCUCCUUUCUACAUCAGGGCCCCGUGUGGCGCAGACCUGUGCAGAAGUUCCCUGUGCUGCCUCAGUUUCUGCAUUCCUGUAUGCGUUGCUCUUGUGAAUUUCCGGGGCAUGGUUUUCCUGGCGUUCUCCAUGCCCUCUAGCUCUUAAGAUCCCUUUAGUUCCCCUUCCACAUGGUUUCCUAAUCCCUGAAAGGAGGGAUUUGCUAAAGACAUCCUUUUGAUGGCUGUGUACCAAGGUCUCACCUUUGUACAGUGUCUGCCUGCAGUAUCUGUAUCUGUUCCCGUCUGCUGCAGAAGGGAGCUUCCCUGAUUGGAGCUGACAAAGGCACUCUUCAUUUUCGUGUUUUUUAAAUGGGCUUCAUAAACUAUAUCCCCACUAAAAAUAAUUCGACUGUCCUAAAAUACAGCCCUGAGGAAUCGAGCCAGUAAUGCAGUUAAUGACAAAUUUCCAAAUUUGCUGGCAAGACUGUCAGUUAAAUGUGUCAUUUGCACAUCUUGUUCGUCAAGCAAACAAAAUAAUACUUAAGUAUGUAAUAAUAUACAGUAUUAAAUCCCCCUGGGAAAAGAGUUGGUUUUAAAUACUUUGAAAAGAAACUUUCAAGUUAGUGAUUUACACAGUUAAUUAUAAACAACAAGGCUUGUAAUUAAGUGUUGCCAUUUUGGGUGGAAUUGGUUUCACCCAUCACUAAUCCGUCUAUCCUUGUCUUUGGCCUUUGAGAGAUUAUGGGAAAAUGCACACGAUGAAAAGUUUAACUUGUCAAGUUUAAAUUUAGAUGCAAAGUCCGGAAUAUCAAACACCAUAAGUGAUAAUUAUCACCACCUGGAAAUAAUUUGUACCACUGAGUUAAGUAAGAAUUCUCCUUUCCUGCUGAUGGGGAGUUUUUAACCUCCUGAUCACCAGAGUCCUGCAGCUUACGGUGGUGUGUUUUGUGGUUCACCCCCAGUAGUCUGCAUAGAUUCAAGUGUUUAGCCAAAUACUGGAGGUAUACCUAUUAGCAUUGUACAAUGUCAGGAAGACUAAUAAGCCAGCAACAAAGUGGAAGUAAGGAAGGUCCUGAUUUUAAGUUACUCAGAGGAAGCUAUGUUACCUAAUUGUUUAGGUUACAAAUUACCUGGAUGUUCUUCUAAAAAAUC
rnacentral:lncRNA from 1 species